rnacentral:rRNA from 1 species
GACGAACGCUGGCGGCGUGCUUAACACAUGCAAGUCGAGCGGUAAGGCCCUUUCGGGGGUACACGAGCGGCGAACGGGUGAGUAACACGUGGGUGACCUGCCCUCAGCUCUGGGAUAAGCCUGGGAAACUGGGUCUAAUACCGGAUAUGACUCCAUGACGCAUGUUGUGGGGUGGAAAGCCUUGUGCGGCUGAGGAUGGGCCCGCGGCCUAUCAGCUUGUUGGUGGGGUGAGGCCUACCAAGGCGACGACGGGUAGCCGGCCUGAGAGGGCGACCGGCCACACUGGGACUGAGACACGGCCCAGACUCCUACGGGAGGCAGCAGUGGGGAAUCUUGCGCAAUGGGCGAAAGCCUGACGCAGCGACGCCGCGUGAGGGAUGACGGCCUCGG